GAGCCUGGUGUCUGUCCCUAUGGUCAGCAUAUUGUCAGUCAGAGCUUCCAUGUCAGCCACCUUGGGAAGGAAGCAGCAGCAGAUACACUGAAAAGACCCUUCUUUCUGUGAUGCAUGGAUGAGA